AUGCUCUCGAAUCAGAGGGGCCCUGGAUGCAGAGAGGAUGCAGAGAUAAUGCAGGCAGCUGUCCUGGGCUGCUGCUGUUCAGCAGAUGGAGGAAGCAGCAUACAGACCCACAGGGAAGGACAGGCACAAUCAGUUCCUUCCAUCAGAAGUGGCACUGGACCAAAUGUCCUCACACUGGAAAGACCCUGGAGAGUAUUUGUCACCUGCUUUGGACCUGUGGCACCAGACUUGGAUAUGGAAAGACGGCACGGAGCUGGACAGGUGACACUGAGCCGUGCCUCUUCUGUCUCUCACUUUAAAUAGGGGAAGCCUCUGAGAUGGGCUCCGGCAGUGGCCUCUCAUGGGAGUGGAGCUGCUCGCCCCCGGAUGCAGAAGGUUUCCCCUGCCCUGGGUGGCAGUGGCCAGCCUGCCCGUUAUGCUGGGCAGGGGUGACUUCUCCAGGGGUGACAGGUCCUGGCUUUAUUCCUUCCUCAACCUCAGAUGGGGAAGGAGGAGACAGGGCCUAGCAAGCAAAGAAAU
rnacentral:lncRNA from 1 species